GAACGAACGCUGGCGGCGUGCCUAACACAUGCAAGUCGAACGGAAGUAAGAAGCUUGCUUUUUACUUUAGUGGCGCACGGGUGAGUAACGCGUGGAUAAUCUGCCUGAUGCUCUGGGAUAACACUUCGAAAGGGGUGCUAAUACCGGAUAAGCCCACGGACUCUUAGGAGUUUGCGGGAAAAGGGGGGGACCUUCGGGCCUCUUGACAUCAGAUGAGUCCGCGUACCAUUAGCUAGUUGGCGGGGUAAGAGCCCACCAAGGCUACGAUGGUUAGCUGGUUUGAGAGAAUGAUCAGCCACACUGGAACUGAGACACGGUCCAGACUCCUACGGGAGGCAGCAGUGGGGAAUUUUGCGCAAUGGGCGAAAGCCUGACGCAGCAACGCCGCGUGAGUGAUGAAGGCCUUCGGGUCGUAAAGCUCUGUCAAGAGGGAAGAAAUGUAUAGUGGUUAAUACCCGCCAUACUUGACGGUACCUCUGGAGGAAGCACCGGCUAACUCCGUGCCAGCAGCCGCGGUAA
rnacentral:rRNA from 1 species